UUUCUUCUCCAUUGAUCAAAUUUCUCCUUUUUUUUUUAAUGCCAUAAAUAAAUAACAUCUUUGAUUUCUUCUCCAUUGAUCAAAUUUCUGGUUCAAUCGCAUGAAACUCAGAUGCAGAUCGAUCUUCGCUGCGAAUCGCUUCUCAGCUUCCCCGCCUCCGAUUCUAACCUGGCACUAGGGUUUCAGUCACUGUUACAUUGCUGAAACAUUUAUUUUAACUGGUCAAUUAUUAGGGUUCUGUCCUAAAUAAACAUUUGACUCUGCACAUUUAAGCUGCAUCUUGAAUCCUAUGGCUAUUUUAAUCACUGCUGUCUCAGUUAUUUUGGUUUUGUUCUUUGAAGGAGAUUGAAUGUGGUACCUAUUUUUUGCCAUGUUAGCACCAAAUUAUGUUUUCCGUCCCGGUAAACCCGCUUUUCGUCAAUGUCCGUCAAAAAUUGGAAAAAUUUUGGGGAUUGAUUACUGUUAACCUAGUUAAAGGUUAGUUGAAUACUUGAAUUAAUCUUUUAUAGUAUGCUAGCUAUAGUUUGCCGUGUGUGAAUUGUUCUUAUUCAUUGUGUUUAUAAUUACAUUGAGAUUUUGGAGGAGUCGAAGUCGAAAACGCAGUGAUGAUUUGGGAAAAAUUUAUUAUUGUAGAUCGUAGAGUAUGGCUUUUUGCAUAAAAGGAUCUUCCGAGCUCGUUAUGCUUGCUUUAUUAUAUCACGGUUUUGCUUGCUUUAUCUGUUAGCAGUUGCAGUGAUUGUAAAGAUGUCCAACAACAUUUGUGCUUUUAUUUGUAAUUUAAAUUUCGGUAUCAAAUGCUAGUUAAUGUGUUGACUAGUAAAGUUCGUAACCAAAACACUCUAUGUAAUCGAUCUUGGACGCAUUAUAUCAACAUUGCGACGUUUUAAUUUGUUUUUGUUUUGCUUGAAAAGAUUAGCUUGCGAUGUUUCUUUCCCUAAUCAGGGUUACUUUUUCUUGCUAGGAGAUAUCUAUUUCUUUAGAGGCUGAAGCCGAGUUAUCUAUCACUACUCGGUCCAUAUUUAAGUAUAAUGUGUUGCUACUUUCGGUAAAUGCAGCGGACCAAUUUGUAAUGGCCUCCCUGUCCUUGAUGAUCAUUCUCUGCUCACUACAAUGAAGUUUUGUCUUUUCUUCUUUUGUUAGGAUGCCGCGCGGAUUAUCAAACUUCGAACACAAAAUUGUCCUGAUUCGAUCAAAUUUCAGUAUCAUGGCGCCCUCAAGAAGCACACUGAAGGACCAAAGCAGCGAAAAGAAUGAGCAGACUUCUAUCAGGCCACAAAUGGAUCCAAUCGCUAAGAGGGUGAGCAUAGUGCUUCAGGAAAGAUCUUGCCUUUCCGUCCUUUGUGCCCGUCUCGUAUCUAACUGGUCUGCGGAUGUCAUCUGACGCAAAUUGUCCCUUAGCCUCUUUCGAUAGUGCAAAGAAGUCGGAAGCAGCUUCAAGAGCACCUUUCAUGACUGAUUGGCUAAUUCCAUGGUUUACUACCUGCAUAACAAAGCUAAAUUUGAAUUCCGUGUUAUUCUCCACAUGUUUAUAAAUGUUGGUUGUUUAUCGUUUUAUUUAUCUCCAAGUAGCUACUGAACUUCUUAUUAACUAGCACACUGGCAAUUAACUUUUAGAAAGUUGGCAAAAGCCUUUAUACAGUCGGAGAUUCUCCCUUAUCAUUUCUUGCUAUUUGUGUCUUUGUCAGAUCGUGCUGUUAUACUCUUUACAGUGAAUAAUUGCAUAUGUUUAUGUACAAUGAACAACCAUUUACGCCAACCAAUUUCUACUGUAGGAACAUCUCAAGCUGAUGAUGUUUAAUUUGUUUACAGCAUGUAGACACCUGGGUGGUAUGUAAUUGACAGUUGCAUUCUACAAGUACUGUUCUAAUCUUAAGCAAGUGUUUCUGUACAAUGAAAACUACAUAAACCGAUGGAGUUUGAAACUAGAAACAACUCAAGCUGAUGCUGUUUAAUUUACAGAACAUAUAUAAAAUCUUGGUGGUAGCUAGCUAGUCGACGGAUGUGCAUGUUGGUACUGUUGGCGUCUUUUGCGAUCUUCUCUCAACAAGUUUGCCGCAUAAAAUACCAUGUGGUGAUGGGCUAAUCGUAACCAUGUGGUUACGUACAAUGAGACCCAUUUACACUGACAAAGUUCUGCGCUGGAAAUAUCUCAAGCUAUGCUGUAUUGUUGAGAGAUCUAGACAUCUUUGUUGUAACUGCUCGGCAGAUUUGCAUGUUGAUGGUGUUGGUGUCCUUUGGAGCCUCUUCUCAACAAGUUUACCACAUAAAAUAUCAUGUGGUGAUGUGCUAAUUAAUCUGAACAUCUUGGCGGCAGGCGAUCGACGGAUGUUCGUGUUGGCGGUGUUGAGUGAAAACCAUUUCAACAGCAAAGUUCCAGUGGAAACAUGCUGCUUCAUCUACAGAACCUAAACAUAUUGGCGAAGGCUGUCGACAGUUGUGCAUGUUUGGUGCAUUCCGUAGUCUCCUCUCUACAACCUUACCACAUAAAAUAUAGAACGAACCCAAACAUCUCGGUGAUACACAAUCGAUGGAUGCAUGCGCACGAUGGUGUUGACGCCUUUCGCCGAAAGUGUUGAAAGUGUGUACUGAAAAACACGCUUGCCGACUGUUUCAUCAACAUGAACGUAGAGAAAGUUUCAUUCGUUUGCGGCAUGUAGCAGACAGCUAAGAUAUGCUAAACUGUCAACGUGAAGGGAAGGAAGAAAAGAAGCAUACAUUACCUGGAAAUACCCGUGUUUCCGGCACGCCUUAGCGAUGUCUUUGAGCAUGAGAGAUCGUUGCGCGGAACUCUGGUUAAGCCUGCAGAGGUCGACGACCGGUAUCUGCAUCGGCUUAGCUUUAGCUCCAACCGGAAUUGGAGAAGGGAUGCUCUGCGGCAGCGCGCUCAAGGUUGCUGCUAGUGCUUCUGCUUCUGCUUCUGAGCACUGCUAUGUUCUACAGGAGAGUGCAAUAUAUGAGGCUUAUGGACAAUGCUCAGAUGGGGUGUGGGAUAUUUAUAGGCUUCGUGUGGCAGCUACUGAGCACUGCUAUAUUCUAUGCAUAGUAAAUGUAGCCACUAGCUUAGCUUGUGGAGGGGAAAUGCUUUGCAUGUGAACCUCAAAGAAGCUGUGGGGAGAAGCUGUUGCUUUUGGGUCCAGGAGCAGAUCCCAGGAGCCACUCUACCUUCCAAAUAAGCUAUUUUCUUGUGUCCUUUUUCUAGUUUAACUACUAUUCUAUAUAGUAAGGAUAAGAUGUUUCUUUUUCUUUUUAAUUAUUUUGAGGAAGAUAGUGUUACUAUGCUUUCCACUUUGUGCUUCUUUUUCUAGAAAUAAAUUCAAAUAAAAAUAUAAAGCAAUUAAAUUUCAAA